CAUAAUAAAUGUGUCUUUCAGCAUUUCAAUGGUAUUUUGUGUGUUAAAAAUGCAAAUGUCAAGUUUAACGAUGACAUAAACGCAUAUAAAAAAUAAAUGAAGAAACUUACAGGUUAAUAUCUAGGACAAAUUUACCUAUAUAUAUAUAUAUAUAUACAGUCAUGGGACUAAAGUGAGUUCCCAGUAAAAAAAAGUCCUAUCAUUUCAACUUGUAUAUCUAUUUAUAACUGACAACAAUAUGCAUAACCUUUUAGUUUAAACAUAUUUUACUUGCAAAAGUAGCAAAAGGGAUUGGACACAAGUUAUAACAACAUUAGAGACGUCCUCUCCCAAUAUAAAUAUAAACACAAAGUACAUUAGAUAAUGGCGAAAAAAAACACA
rnacentral:lncRNA from 1 species